rnacentral:lncRNA from 1 species
CUCAGAAACUUCUUUGUGAUGUUUACACUCAACUCACAGAUUUGAACACACCUUUUCAUAGAGCAGUUUUGAAACUCUCUUUUCGUAGAAUCUGCAAGUGUACAUUUGGAGCGCUUUGAGGGUUAUGGUGGAAAAUGAAUUAUCUUCACAUAAAAACUAGAAAUAAGCAUUCUCAGAAACUUCUUUGUGGUGUUUGCAUUCAACUCACAGAGUUGAACAUACCUUUUCAUAGAGCAGCUUUGAAACACUCUUUUUGUAGAAUCCACAAGU